UGCAAGUCGAACGGCAGCACAGAGGAACUUGUUCCUUGGGUGGCGAGUGGCGGACGGGUGAGUAAUGUAUCGGAACGUGCCCAGUAGUGGGGGAUAACUACGCGAAAGCGUGGCUAAUACCGCAUAUUCUCUACGGAGGAAAGGGGGGGAUCAUUUGACCUCUCGCUAUUGGAGCGGCCGAUAUUAGAUUAGCUAGUUGGUGGGGUAACGGCCUACCAAGGCAGUGAUCUAUAGCUGGUUUGAGAGGACGACCAGCCACACUGGGACUGAGACACGGCCCAGACUCCUACGGGAGGCAGCAGUGGGGAAUUUUCGACAAUGGGGGGAACCCUGAUCGAGCCAUCCCGCGUGUGGGACGAAGGCCUUCGGGUUGUAAACCACUUUUCUCAACGAAGAAAAGUCUUAGGCUAAUACCUUAAGAUGCUGACGGUAGUUGAGGAAUAAGCACCGGCUAACUAUGUGCCAGCAGCCGCGGUAAUACAUAGGGUGCAAGCGUUAAUCGGAAUUACUGGGCGUAAAGGGUGCGCAGGCGGCUUGGAAAGAACGGUGUGAAAUCCCGGGGCUCAACCCCGGAACUGCACUAUUAACUAUCAAGCUAGAGUAUGUCAGAGGGGGGUGGAAUUCCGCGUGUAGCAGUGAAAUGCGUAGAUAUGCGGAGGAACACCAAUGGCGAAGGCAGCCCCCUGGGAUAAUACUGACGCUCAGGCACGAAAGCGUGGGUAGCAAACAGGAUUAGAUACCCUGGUAGUCCACGCCCUAAACGAUGUCAACUAGCUGUUGGGCCGGUUACGGCUUAGUAGCGCAGCUAACGCGUGAAGUUGACCGCCUGGGGACUACGGUCGCAAGACUAAAACUCAAAGGAAUUGACGGGGACCCGCACAAGCGGUGGAUGAUGUGGAUUAAUUCGAUGCAACGCGAAAAACCUUACCUACCCUUGACAUGCCUGGAAGCUUUAAGAGAUUAAAGUGUGCUCGCAAGAGAACCGGUGCACAGGUGCUGCAUGGCUGUCGUCAGCUC
rnacentral:rRNA from 1 species